CGGAAGAUAAGACGGAUUAGCGGCGGACGGGUGAGUAACACGUGAGUAACCUGCCUUUUACACAGGGAUAGCCUCGGGAAACCGGGAUUAAAACCUGAUGAAACCAUCAAAUCACAUGAUUAAGAAAGUUAAAACUCCGGUGGUAAAAGAUGGACUCGCGUCCCAUUAGCUAGUUGGUGAAGGUAACGGCCCACCAAGGCAACGAUGGGUAGCCGGCCUGAGAGGGUGAACGGCCACAUUGGAACUGAGACACGGCCCAGACUCCUCGGGAGGCAGCAGCU
rnacentral:rRNA from 1 species